rnacentral:snoRNA from 1 species
AAGUCCAUGCUUUCAAGGAUCAUUCAUACAGUUCAUUACUAGAGAAGUUUGUCUGAAUGUGAGGAGCACCGGGAAGCACAGGGAAGAGGGGCAGCAUUUUUUCCUAAGCAUGAAGUCAGCUGUUGGUGUUGCUUUGCUGCAAUUCCCUUUGGCCACUAGUGACAGUUUCCUCCCCUGGGGAGAGUAAUGUGUGGAGGGGAUGUGGUG